AUCGCUUCUCUGUCUUUUGGCUAGGAUCAAGUGUAGUAUCUGUUCUUAUCAGUUUAAUAUCUCAUACAGUAUGUCCUCUAUAUGGGGAUUCAUUAUUAAAUGUAUUUUUGAGCAUUGGGAGGUGAAAACUGGGGCUUGCUCUCUUCACUCCUUGCAUUGACCUGGUAUUGCAGUGCCACCAGGAACGGUGCACCAUUC